rnacentral:rRNA from 1 species
UACGUAGGGUGCAAGCGUUGUCCGGAAUUAUUUGGGCGUUAAAAGAGCUUGUAGGCGGUUUUGUCGCGUCUGCUGUGAAAAUUUCGGGGCUCAACCCCGAACUUGCAGUGGGUACGGGCAGACUAGAGUGUGGUAGGGGAGACUGGAAUUCCUGGUGUAGCAGGUGUGAAAUGCGCAGAAUAUCAGGAUGGAACACCAAUGGCGAAGGCAGCUCGCUGGGACAGUACUGACGCUGAGACGCCGAAAGCGUGGGGAGCAAACAGG